rnacentral:rRNA from 1 species
AGUGAACGCUGGCGGUAGGCCUAACACAUGCAAGUCGAACGGCAGCACAGGAGAGCUCGCUCUCUGGGUGGCGAGUGGCGGACGGGUGAGGAAUACAUCCGAAUCUGCCCAGUCGUGGGGGAUAACGUAGGGAAACUUACGCUAAUACCGCAUACGACCUUCGGGUGAAAGAGGGGGAUCGCAAGACCUCUCGCGAUUGGAUGAGCCGAUGUCGGAUUAGCUAGUUGGCGGGGUAAUGGCCCACCAAGGCGACGAUCCGUAGCUGGUCUGAGAGGAUGAUCAGCCACACUGGAACUGAGACACGGUCCAGACUCCUACGGGAGGCAGCAGUGGGGAAUAUUGGACAAUGGGCGCAAGCCUGAUCCAGCCAUACCGCGUGGGUGAAGAAGGCCUUCGGGUUGUAAAGCCCUUUUGUUGGGAAAGAAAUCUUUCAGGCUAAUACCCUGGGAGGAUGACGGUACCCAAAGAAUAAGCACCGGCUAACUUCGUG